GUACCAGAAAAAAAGAAGGAAGUAUAGUCUAUUAAUAGCUACACCCUCAAUCUUGUUGUCACUCCCAGGACAAGUGCUUCAGCAACAAAGCAGUUCUUGUCAUUAACUGAAGCUUUGAUUUAGUAUCAACGCAGAGAAAGUGUGCCACCGGCUGACUCAUCAACACUUUGCUUCCUACCUAGAUUUCCCUAGAGUGUCUUUUCUUCAGGAUGUCAAACAGAUUUCUAAAUGAAAAUCACUUUCAGAGGCAGCAGUUGGGAGAGGCUGAAUCAGGGGCUGCUGGCCAAGUACCAUUUAAAGCUAGAAAUGCUUCAUUGAUUUUUAUCAAUACCGCAUCAGCCUGUUCUCCACUCCUCCAGCCUCCAACUGCAGGAUUUCCCAAGGCACAGGUUUUGGUUGGCUGCUCAGUCUUCAGUCUAGAUUAAUGUACUCUUACACCUUCACAUCUGGUACCUGGGAGCUCCAGGCUAACAAGAAAUAAGAAAAUGGACCAACUACUGAGUCUAAUUUCCUCCUAAUGGAUGAGAAUAUGUUAUAAGCUGUGGCCCAUGUCUGCAGAAAAGCAUACAGCUAGCCAAUGCAUGAAGAAUUUUGCAUAGUUUCAAGGCACCCAUGGAUCUGUCUAAAAGAUUUCUGCAUCUCAGGAUAAGAAUUCCUGUCAUAUUUAUAUGUGUGUUAGGCACUGGAGAAGCAGAUAUUAAUCAAAGAAUCAUAUAGACAAAUGUAAAUUACCACUGUAAUUUUAGGUGCAUAACAGGUUGGUUGUCCUAGGCAGAGAGGUCCCAGAAGGCUUUUCUGGCAAAGUGAUGAUUGGGGUAGAGUCAAACAGAAGGGUAGAGAGAGUCCAGAUAGAGGAAAUAGCCUGAAAAAAAGUUCUGUGGCCAGGAGGCAUAGGCAUAUUUAGGGAAUGGAAAGGCUAGUGUGGCUGAUGGACAGAGAAUGAGGGAGAGGAAAGCUUCAGAAAGAGGCCAGUUAUGAAGGGCCUCAUAGACCAGUUAGGGAAUUUAGUCUUUAUUCUAGGAGCAUUGGGAACUGUUCAUGGUAGAAGGGUGAUACCUGGUUUUGGUUAUGAAUCAAAACUCUGGCUAUUAUGCGGGAAUGAAUUAGAGGGAAGCAGGAGUGGAUGGGGAGAGAUCAGUUUGGACACUAUGACUCUAGUCCAAGGGAAGGUGGUAAUCUCAAGUACAGAGGUGACUGUGGAGGAAAAGAGAAAUGGCUGGGUUCAAGGACCAGCCAGAAGUGAAAUGAUAGAACUGAGAGAUGAGUUGGAAAACAGGAGAACAGGUGAGAGAGAGGGAAAUGUUAAGAAGAGCAUCUGGGUUUUGGGUUCCAUGAUAGAUUAAAUGGUGGUUCGGGCGCCUGGGUGGCUCAGUUGCUUGAGCGACUGACUUCGGCUCAGGUCAUGAUCUUAUGGUUUGUGAGUUCGAGCCCUGCGUCGGGCUGUAUGCUGACACCUCAGAGCCUGCAGCCUGCUUCGGAUUCUGUGUCUCCCUCUCUCUCUGCCCCUCUCCUGGUCAUGCUCUGUCUCUCUCUGUCUCAGAAAUAAAUAAACGUUAAAAAAAAUGGUGGUGCCAUUCAGAGAGAUCAUACAAUGCUAAUAAAGGUCCAAAUUUUGGUGAGGGAAGAUACUGGGUUCAUUUUGCACCAGUUGGAACUGGGUCAUAGGGUAGUUCUAUCUUUAAUUUUUUGAGGAACCUCCAUACUGUUUUCCAGAGUGGCUGCACCAGCUUGCCUUCCCACCAACAAUGCAAAAGAGAUCCUCUUUCUCCACA